AGGAAUGGAGGGUAAGAUGUUCUGUGUGGAUAGCACUCCCCAGAGGAAGGCUGGCCAAGGAACUUUUCUUCCCUCCACCCAAGAUGUGCUGCUCAGAUCAGUGUCCUUUAAGAACCUGUGUAAAGUGGGCAUAUACGGUACAUAACGACGUUGUCGGAAGAGAUCUGUGGAAAAUCCAAUUUUGCCUUUGAUCGGACCUUGUGAUUAUUGGUAUAUCUUCAAACCACAAGUUCCAGCCUCCAAAAGAGGAGAAUGGUGGCCUCCACAGGUCUGAUCUACCCAGAUGGAUCACAAUUGUAUGUGGGAACAGUUGGAUGGGUUUUGACUUGUUUAAUGGCUCAAUGCGGAGGCUUGGAUUUAAUUUUUAUUAUGUGAUGAGUCUACAUCUAAUGUAAAUUGGUGUUCUUGAGUUCCAGAGGAGAUGUGGCUCCCAUUUCCCAUUUUGGGGGAUCUCAAAAUGGAUAAUCUGC